GACGAACGCUGGCGGCGUGCCUAACACAUGCAAGUCGAACGGUCUAAUGCUUAACACUGAGUGUUCAGUAAUGUUGUAACAGCGAGAGCGCGAAGGAUGAGUGCUCCACGCAUAAAGAAAACUUGGCUGGCGCCGAGCCUUUGCGAAGGCGGCUGCCUAGUUGCG
rnacentral:rRNA from 1 species